rnacentral:rRNA from 1 species
ACUUUAUAUGUGCGACCGCGUACUUUUUGUAGAACGGUCCGGCGAGUUACGCUUACUGGCAAGGUUAAGCACUUCAGGUGUGGAGCCGUAGGGAAACCAAGUCUUAAGAGGGCCAGAGUCAGUAGGAGUAGACCCGAAACCGGGUGAUCUAUCCAUGUCCAGGUUGAAGCUGCCGUAAGAGGUAGUGGAGGACCGAACCCACAUCCGUUGAAAAGGGUGGGGAUGAGGUGUGGAUAGGGGAGAAAUUCCAAUCGAACCCGGAGAUAGCUGGUUCUCCUCGAAAUAGCUUUAGGGCUAGCCUCGAUACAGAUUUGCGGAGGUAGAGCACUGAAUUUCCUAGGGGGCGUCAAAGCCUACCGAAGAAUAUCAAACUCCGAAUGCCGCGUAAUCGAUUAUCGGGAGUCAGACUGCACGAGAUAAGUUGGGCGGUCAAAAGGGAAAGAGCCCAGACCUUCAGUUAAGGUCCCCAAGUGCGCGUUAAGUGGAAAAGGAUGUGGGAUUUCGAAGACAACCAGGAUGUUGGCUCAGAAGCAGCCAUACAUUCAAAGAGUGCGUAAUAGCUCACUGGUCGAGAGGUCCUGCGCCGAAAAUGUCCGGGGCUGAAACGCGCCACCGAAACUAAGGAACCGAAAGGUUGGUAGAGGAGCAUUGCAUGCGGAACGAAGCAGUACCGUAAGGAGCUGUGGACUGCAUGGAAGAGAGAAUGCCGGAAUGAGUAGCGAGAAUAAGGUGAGAAUCCUUAUGGCCGAAUAUCCAAGGUUUCCAGAGUAAAGCUGAUCUGCUCUGGGUAAGUCGGGGCCUAAGGCGAGGACGAGAGUCGUAGCCGAUGGACAACAGGUGGAGAUUCCUGUACUGCGGUAUGACAGAACUGUGGGGACACGUAAGGAAAGCGGAAGCCGGGAAUGGAAAGCCCGGUGCAAGCGGGGUACCAGUCACUUUGGCAAAUCCGGGUGGCAAUGGGAAGCCGUGAUGCGGAGCGAAAUAAAGUAGCGAAGUCCGUGAGCCAUGCGUCAAGAAAAGCCGCUAUCGUUUAUACCGUACCCGUACCGUAAACCGACACAGGUGGAUGAGGAGAGAAUCCUAAGGCCGGCGGAAGAAGCAUUGUCAAGGAACUCGGCAAAAUGGCCCCGUAACUUAGGGAUAAGGGGUGCCUGGGAAACCAGGCCGCAGAGAAUAGGCUCAAGCAACUGUUUAGCAAAAACACAGGUCUAUGCGAAACCGAAAGGUGAGGUAUAUGGGCUGACGCCUGCCCGGUGCUGGAAGGUUAAGAGGAGAGGUUAGCGCAAGCGAAGCUUUGAAUUUAAGCCCCAGUAAACGGCGGCCGUAACUAUAACGGUCCUAAGGUAGCGAAAUUCCUUGUCGGGUAAGUUCCGACCCGCACGAAAGGCGUAAUGAUUUGAGCGCUGUCUCGACAAUGCAUCCGGUGAAAUUGAAGUACCAGUGAAGAUGCUGGUUACCUGCGCCAGGACGGAAAGACCCCAUGGAGCUUUACUCCAGUUUGGUACUGGGAUUCGGUAUUGCAUGUACAGGAUAGGUGGGAGACUAGGAGGUAGUGACGCCAGUUGCUACGGAGUCGAUGUUGGGAUACCACCCUUGCAGUAUUGGGUUUCUAACCAGCCGCCGUGACCCGGCGGUGGGACAAUGCCAGGCGGGGAGUUUGACUGGGGCGGUCGCCUCCGAAAGGGUAUCGGAGGCGCCCAAAGGUUCCCUCAGAAUGGACGGAAACCAUUCGAAGAGUGCAAAGGCAGAAGGGAGCUUGACUGCGACACCGACGGGUGGAGCAGGUACGAAAGUAGGACUUAGUGAUCCGGUGGUAUGAAAGUGGGAUUGCCAUCGCUCAACGGAUAAAAGCUACCCUGGGGAUAACAGGCUUAUCACUCCCAAGAGUUCACAUCGACGGAGUGGUUUGGCACCUCGAUGUCGGCUCAUCGCAUCCUGGGGCUGUAGCAGGUCCCAAGGGUUGGGCUGUUCGCCCAUUAAAGCGGUACGCGAGCUGGGUUCAGAACGUCGUGAGACAGUUCGGUCCCUAUCCGGCGUGGGCGUAGGAUAU